UCUAGUGGAAGGUGUCCCUGCCUGUGGCAGGAGAUUGGAACUAGAUGAGCUUUAGUCUGGGAUUCUAUGAAUAUCAACGAAAUGCCAAUUCAGGAUUCUCAGCCUGUUUUGGGGGCCAAAAAGCAGCUAAAUCAUCUGGGCUGCUUCUCAGCUGCUUAGUGACCGCUGAUCUUUUCUUUCCAGUCUGCUUGUAAACUUCCAAAGGAAAGGUUUCGAUCUUAUUCUCUGUUGUUAACUUGGAAACUGCUCUGGAGGGAUUUGCUGCAUUAGUAAGUUUUGCCUGAUACUUGACUUUAGCAGAGGAGCUACCCCAAGGGCAAGUAGUGGGUGCAAAUCCUUUUGGAGGAGGAAGGCCACAUAUCACCCUUAAUAUCCAUGCAGAGCAGAAGGGACUUUGGUGUCUCUUACUGAUUUGACAAACUACUAAUUGAGCUGGAGGGAAUGCUCAGUGAAUGAAUUUGGGGGUGCCUUUGAGAUUCUACUAAUGACUUAUUCUUCACAUGCCACCUUCAAAGCACCCCUCAACUGUAGCCAUGCUGAGAUGCUUCUGUGGCUUAAGCAGAACUGCACUUGCAGCAUGUCAGGGUGCUGUGCUUCUGGAGCAAGGUAAGGAUUAUCUCGUAGGGAUCUGCGAAGAUGCUGUCACAGAGGAUGCUCUUGCAAAGACCAAGUGAAAGAAGUGGAGGAUAAGUAGAAGCAGCUGCACAGGCUGUGUUUAAUGGUGCAGCUGAUGCUGCAGUGCCUCUUUCCCAUGCUCUCGUAACCACAUCUGUUCCAUCCUUCCACAGCGCAGUCAGCAUCUGGAGCCUGUCCUCAAAAGCAAAGAUACUCCCUCAAACUUGAUGUAAAAGGUGGAAGGAUCUACAAUGAACAGAAUUUCUUCCAGCGAGCUGCGAAGGCAGCCACAGGUUUUUGGUGUUCUCUGACUUAGGGCGAACUCUUCAGUCUGUCCUGAAUGAUGGCUUGCACCUACUGAGGGAGAAGGCAGCUUUUCAGAUUGUAGUCCGGCUGCUGGACUGCCUGGAGUACAUCCAUGAGAACGAGUAUGUGCAUGGGGACAUCACAGCUGAGAACAUCUAUUUGAACCCUGCGGACCACACGCAGGUGACCCUCGCAGGCUAUUGCUUUGCCUUCCGUUACUGCCCAGGAGGGAAGCAUGUGGCUUGGCGCGAAGGCAGCAGGACCCCUCACGAAGGCACGAUAGAGUUCAUCAGUGUGGACAGCCACAAGGGAGCAGGGCCAUCUCGCCGGAGUGACUUGGAAUCUCUGGGCUACUGUCUUCUGAAAUGGCUCUGUGGCUUCUUGCCUUGGUCUGAUGAGCUGGACAAAGUAGAAACUGUGAUGGAGAAGAAGGAAAAGUACAGAGAGGAUGUGAAAUGCCUUCUCCGACUGUGCUUCAGGCAGAGAUCCAUUCCAGAUGCCCUACAGAGCUACCUGCAGCAAGUAAUGGUGCUGGAGUACGAGGCAAAGCCUGACUACGAGGCCCUGCGGCAGCUCUUCAAGAAACCACUGGAAAAGAUGAAAGCUUCAGCUUAUGACUCUGUGGAUAUCAAAAUGGUGCCCUGAAUCAAGAGAACUUGCACAGGAAAAGAGUUAAAAGCUUUCUGCAGUGAGGCCUUUCACAGCUAUUUAACUUCUACCCCCCUGUUUUAGAACAGUUUUAAUGUGAGCCAAUGCUGAAUUUUGGGCUGCUGUUGUAAGAAGUUAAUGUGAAGACGCUCCUGUGUGGCAGGUCAUUCUAAGAACUGUGAUGUAGCCACAGGGAGAAGGGCAAAGCCUGGCACAGAAAACUAAAUCAGGGACUUUUUUAUUUUAACUAGAGUGACAGUACGUAGUUUUGUAAUAAACUCUGUGGCCAAGCACCUAAA